rnacentral:rRNA from 1 species
AUGAACGCUGGCGGCGUGCCUAAUACAUGCAAGUCGAGCGAACGGACGAGAAGCUUGCUUCUCUGAUGUUAGCGGCGGACGGGUGAGUAACACGUGGAUAACCUACCUAUAAGACUGGGAUAACUUCGGGAAACCGGAGCUAAUACCGGAUGAUAUUUUGAACCGCAUGGUUCAAAAGUGAAAGACGGUCUUGCUGUCACUUAUAGAUGGAUCCGCGCUGCAUUAGCUAGUUGGUAAGGUAACGGCUUACCAAGGCAACGAUGCAUAGCCGACCUGAGAGGGUGAUCGGCCACACUGGAACUGAGACACGGUCCAGACUCCUACGGGAGGCAGCAGUAGGGAAUCUUCCGCAAUGGGCGAAAGCCUGACGGAGCAACACCGCGUGAGUGAUGAAGGUCUUCGGAUCGUAAAACUCUGUUAUUAGGGAAGAACAUAUGUGUAAGUAACUGUGCACAUCUUGACGGUACCUAAUCAGAAAGCCACGGCUAACUACGUG